GGCGAGAUGGCCGAGCGGUCCAAGGCGCCAGACUAAGGCCAAAGCAGCAUCUGCUUAUAUAAUCUGGUCUCUUCGGGGGCGUGGGUUCGAAUCCCACUCUCGUCA